CAGGAACUAGCCAUACCUAAUGAGCGUCAAGCUGAUACAGUAGAUGUACAGAAGAGUUUAUACACAAGGAAGUGAAAAGUGAUGUGAAAGGCAACUAAUACUUCCAUCUACCAUAGUUAAACAAGAAUCUGCAAAUGGCGAUAAUUGCAAUAAUCCUGAUAUAUUCAUUUUUGGCUUUAAAUGCAAUUGUCAGGUUUGAUAAAUAAAUUAUUUCGCAAAAUUUGA